GUGCCAGCAGCCGCGGUAAUACGUAGGUGGCGAGCGUUGUCCGGAAUUACUGGGCGUAAAGGGUGCGUAGGCGGAGUAUUAAGUCAGAUGUGAAAUCCCCGGGCUCAACUCGGGAGUGGCAUUUGAAACUGGUAAUCUAGAGUGCAGGAGAGGAAAGCGGAAUUCCUAGUGUAGCGGUGAAAUGCGUAGAUAUUAGGAAGAACACCAGUGGCGAAGGCGGCUUUCUGGACUGUAACUGACGCUGAGGCACGAAAGCGUGGGGAGCAAACAGGAUUAGAUACCCUGGUAGUCCACGCUGUAAACUAUGAGUGCUAGGUGUAGGGGGUAUCGACACCCUCUGUGCCGCAGCAAACGCAAUAAGCACUCCGCCUGGGGAGUACGGUCGCAAGACUAAA
rnacentral:rRNA from 1 species